rnacentral:rRNA from 1 species
UACGUAGGGCGCAAGCGUUGUCCGGAAUUAUUGGACGUAAAGAGCUCGUAGGCGGCUUGUUGCGUCGACUGUGAAAACCCGCGGCUUAACCGCGGGCUUGCAGUUGAUACGGGCAGGCUAGAGUUCGGUAGGGGAGACUGGAAUUCCUGGUGUAGCGGUGAAAUGCGCAGAUAUCAGGAGGAACACCGGUGGCGAAGGCGGGUCUCUGGGCCGAUACUGACGCUGAGGAGCGAAAGCGUGGGGAGCGAACAGG